AGUUUGGACAAUGAGGGAAACCCUGAUCAAGCAGUCCCGCGGGUAGCAUGAAGGCCUUCGGCUUUUAAAGUACUUUUGACAGAGAGGAAAAGGUAUCUCCUAAUACGAGAUACUGCUGACGGUAUCUGCAGAAUAAGAACCGGCUAACUACGUGCCAGUAGCCGCGGUAAUACGUAGGGUGCAAGCGUUAACCGGAAUUACUGGGGGUAAAGCGUGUGUAGGCGGCUCGGAAAGAAAGAUGUGAAAUCCCAGGGCUCAACCUUGGAACUGCAUUUGAAACUGCAGGGCUAGAGUAUGUCAGAGGGAGGUAGAAUUCCACGUGUAGCAGUGAAAUGCGUAGAUAUUAGGAGGAAUACCGAUGGCGAAGGCAGCCCCCUGGGAUAAUACUGACGCUCAGGCACGAAAGCGUGGGGAGCAAACA
rnacentral:rRNA from 1 species